rnacentral:rRNA from 1 species
AGUGAACGCUGGCGGUAGGCCUAACACAUGCAAGUCGAACGGCAGCACGGUAAGAGCUUGCUCUUACGGGUGGCGAGUGGCGGACGGGUGAGGCAUACAUCGGAAUCUACUUUUUCGUGGGGGAUAACGUAGGGACACUUACGCUAAUACCGCAUACGACCUACGGGUGAAAGCAGGGGAUCUUCGGACCUUGCGCGAUUGAAUGAGCCGAUGUCGGAUUAGCUAGUUGGCGGGGUAAAGGCCCACCAAGGCGACGAUCCGUAGCUGGUCUGAGAGGAUGAUCAGCCACACUGGAACUGAGACACGGUCCAGACUCCUACGGGAGGCAGCAGUGGGGAAUAUUGGACAAUGGGCGCAAGCCUGAUCCAGCCAUACCGCGUGGGUGAAGAAGGCCUUCGGGUUGGAAAGCCCUUUUGUUGGGAAAGAAAAGCAGCAGGUUAAUACCCCGCUGUUCUGACGGUACCCAAAGAAUAAGCACCGGCUAACUUCG